rnacentral:rRNA from 1 species
GCAGGUUGAAGCGCGGGUAAGACCGCGUGGAGGACCGAACCCACCUGGGUUGAAAACCGGGGGGAUGACCUGGGGCUAGGGGUGAAAGGCCAAUCAAAUUCCGUGAUAGCUGGUUCUCUCCGAAAUGCAUUUAGGUGCAGCGUCGGUCGAUUGCGUCGCGGGGGUAGAGCUACCGGAUGCUUGCGGGCCCUUGUUGGGUACCAACAGCAGCCGAACUCCGAAUACCGUUGACGUGUAUUCCGGCAGUGAGUCGGCGGGGGAUAAGCUCCGUCGUCGAGAGGGAGACAGCCCAGACCGUCGUCUAAGGUCCCGAAGCGUGUGCUAAGUGGGAAAGGAUGUGGAGUCGCAUAGACAGCCAGGAGGUUGGCUCAGAAGCAGCCAUCCUUGAAAGAGUGCGUAACAGCUCACUGGUCUAGUGGUUCCGCGCCGACAAUGUAGCGGGGCUCAAGCACACCACCGAAGACGCGGCAGCAAUCUUCAUGGUUGCUGGGUAGGAGAGCGUCCUGCGAGGGGCGAAGCGGCGGUGGAAACCGGCCGUGGACUUCGUGGGAGUGAGAAUGCAGACAUGAGUAGCGAGAGACGGGUGAGGAUCCCGUCCGCUGGAUGACCAAGGGUUCCGGGGCCACGUUCGUCGUCCCCGGGUGAGUCGGGUCCUAAGGCGAGGCCGACAGGCGUAGUCGAAUGGAUGAACGGGUGGAUAUUCCCGUACCGACCAUGGACCGGCAAAACCGAGACGGUGAGUACUAACCUCCGCCUCGUGGUGGUUCCUUCCUUCGGGUUGGUUCCGUCGCGUGGUGUUGGGACUGUAGCCGUAGUAGGUCAGCGCAGGGGUGACACGGAAUGGGAGCCGGCCGCGGAGGUGGUUUUCCGUGGUCAAGCACGCAGCCAGUCAUGUAGGCAAAUCCGCAUGGCGCGCAUGGCGAGGUGUGAUGAUGGGAGCCGUUAUGGCUCGAUAUCCGGUUGUCCAGGCCGUCGAGAAAAGCCUCGGCGUGAGGGCCAUGGCCGCCCGUACCCCAAACCGACACUGGUGGUCAGGUAGAGAAUACCAAGGCGAUCGAGCGAAUCCUGGUCAAGGAACUCGGCAAAUCACUCCCGUGCCUUCGGUAUAAGGGAGACCCGCUGGGGUGAACCGGCUAGCCCGGGGAGCUUUGGUGGGUGGCACAGACCAGGGGGUAGCGACUGUUUACCAAAAACACAGGUGCAUGCGAAGGCGAAAGCCGCUGUAUAUGCACUGACGCCUGCCCGGUGCCGGAAGGUUAAGAGGAUCCGUCAGUCCUUCGGGAUGAAGCGGUGAAUUCAAGCCCCGGUAAACGGCGGUGGUAACUAUAACCAUCCUAAGGUAGCGAAAUUCCUUGUCGGGUAAGUUCCGACCUGCACGAAUGGCGUAACGACUUCCCCACUGUCUCGACCAGGAGCUCGGCGAAAUUGCAGUACGAGUAAAGAUGCUCGUUAAGCGCAGAAGGACGAAAAGACCCCGGGACCUUUACUAUACCUUGGUAUUGGCGUUAGGCGCGGAUUGUGUAGCAUAGGCGGGAGGCUUCGAAGC